rnacentral:lncRNA from 1 species
UUUAAAUUUCCUAAGUGUUUAUAGGGAAUAUAACUUUUUUUAUUUAAAUAUUCACUUUUGUACACAUUUUCUUUAAAUAUCAGAUGUAUACUAGCUAAAAUGACUAUUAUUUAGAGCUCUGUAAAUAAAAAAAAAUAUGUAAGCAGAGCUCUAUAUAUAGAUAAUAGAUUUGGAGGGUUUGAGAAAUAGUGGGUAACUAACAAUUGAUGAGGGGAAAUUUUCAAAAAAACUGAUUUUGUUAAAACUGUAAAGUGCAUCUGAUAUUUUUUUUUUAUACAUGUAUAAUGUUAUUUCUGAAAGCAAAUGGACAAUAAGAUAUCGAGGACAUGGACCUCCUUGGCAGUUAUGAUAGCAGCUCUAAGGAAGAUGGUCAAUUAUAUCUUCAACCAAGUCUGAGGCUUUACCAGGAAAAAUCUGUGGUGAGUUGAAAUGUUCCACAAAAUUUAUAAUAAUAUUAUUAUAGACUUUUAAAACUUUUUAUUUAUUAAGGGUUUUUGUGUGAUAUUGAAGAUAUCUGCAUCAUUUCAUAACAUUUUUUUAUAACUUGUAUUUAAUGAAAAUGUUUUCUACCUUAUGUAUCAAGUCAAUAUUUUGAAGAUAUUAUAUAACAAAUUCAUAAGAAAUGAUACAAGGCAUAAUUAUGUUUCUCUUCUUAA